rnacentral:rRNA from 1 species
GAUGAACGCUGGCGGCGUGCCUAAUACAUGCCAGUCGAGCGAACAGACGAGGAGCUUGCUCCUCUGACGUUAGCGGCGGACGGGUGAGUAACACGUGGAUAACCUACCUAUAAGACUGGGAUAACUUCGGGAAACCGGAGCUAAUACCGGAUAAUAUAUUGAACCGCAUGGUUCAAUAGUGAAAGACGGUUUUGCUGUCACUUAUAGAUGGAUCCGCGCCGCAUUAGCUAGUUGGUAAGGUAACGGCUUACCAGGGCAACGAUGCGUAGCCGACCUGAGAGGGUGAUCGGCCACACUGGAACUGAGACACGGUCCAGACUCCUACGGGAGGCAGCAGUAGGGAAUCUUCCGCAAUGGGCGAAAGCCUGACGGAGCAACGCCGCGUGAGUGAUGAAGGUCUUCGGAUCGUAAAACUCUGUUAUUAGGGAAGAACAAAUGUGUAAGUAACUAUGCACGUCUUGACGGUACCUAAUCAGAAAGCCACGGCUAACUACGU